GGCGAUCACUGUUAUAUGGGCCUAUGGUUGGUGUAGCAGCCAAAUGGGUUGCUACAGCCUAAAUGUGUUGUCACGCAAUGUGUAAUGUCCCUGUUUGUACACUGGGUGUUGCUGUGCAUUGCACAGGUGUUUUUAGGCAUAUAGGUAGGAAGCCUACUGUUGUGGUUAGGUGUUGACCCCGGAAGGGCAAAUGGUUUUGACCGCUAUACCGCGAAGGUUUGAGUAACAUGUCAUUGCUCUGCGUUUUAAUGGACAAUAAAUGGAGAACUGUUUAAACGAACGCAAUGCGUGUAUGGACUUUAUCUCGCUGACGGUAAUCACCUCUAAAAGAUCUAAGCGCGUCAACCAGGUUAUUCCUGGGGUACAACAACCCAGUAGCUCAGUAGUGUACUGUGCUCCCACACAGUCAAAACCUGCCGCUAAUUGGAAGUUUCUGCGGAAUUCGACGGAGUCCUCGAGCUGUUUGGAAAUUACGAGAGCUGCUUGGAGACCGAGGAAUUGAAUGGUCGGAAUUGGAGCUGAGGACGUUUGUUGACCUACUUCUUGGUCUAUGCUACUACGGCGCCCAACGUAUAAGGUAACCCGGGUGUAGCGCUACAUUGUUUCAUGGCCAUUUAAUUUGUGUGCACACAUACCGGGGAAAUCCAAUGCAUUGGUAAAUCGUGGGUUCGCUAAGACUCUGUAUUGACUGCUUGCGUCGUUUGUUUGGAGGACUAACGCUAUCGUUCGAUUGAACUGGUUAUCAUGGAGCCGUGCAAGGCGACAAACGAGACUAUUAAAGUUGGAGGGACUGACGUACAAACUGCUAGUGGUUCCAAAACUGACGUGACUGCCGUUGUUGAAACUCCGACUCAGAAACGAGUUGUUAAACUCACUGCCAAGGCACUUGCUGAGAAAUUGGAUAAGUUACAAACUGAUAGAAAGGCCAAAUUGAACAAGGCAAACUUCAUUAGAAAAUCAAUACGAAAUUACAUGGUAAAAAAUGAGAGAACGCAGGUAGAUAAUGAUCUUAAUGAAUUAAUUGAUUUAUGCAAUGAAAUAAAAUAUAUACAUGGAUCUUUGUUGCAACUGCUGCCUUCUGAUGAAAAAGAAAAACAUGUAAUUUGGUUUAAAGCGAAAAUGUUGUCUAAUGAUGAGUGUAUUGCUAAUGCAAAUGUGUGGAUGUCUUGUAGCAACAGUCAAGAUGGGAAUGUUAUUUCAACUAAUGCUGUCUCUAACACUUUGAUGGAUGUUAUUAUUGUGGAACAACUAAGUGUGUGUGACAAUGUGCAAAAUGCUAAUUUAACUGAUGUUUCCAGUGAUGUACAUGGCGGCACCGUUGAAAAUGUAGCUAUGCAAAAUAUUGGGCUCAAUGUUGAUCCAAUUGAUAUUCCCAGUCAAACCAGUUCUGUCUCAAAAAUGCUUACACACAAUAAUGUGUCCAGCGUUGUGCACAAAGGUGUUGAGGAUGAGGUAAAUCCAGAUGACAGUAUUUCCAAUGUUGCAAGCAAUUGCUCAAGUCGAAAGAGUGGCAUGAGUAAAGUAAGCACAACUUCCUCAGCAAGGAUAAGGGCCGAGGCAGAAAGAGCUGCACUCAUUGCUCGUGCCGCAGUCUUGAAGGAAAGACAUGCCUUGGAAGAGCUGGAACAACAGCUGAGAAGAAGAAGGGAGCAGCUUGACAUGGAAACUGAUUUAGCUGCGUCCAGUGCUAAGUUGGCGGUGUUGCAGGCCUCAGAUGUGAAAAGUUGUUCUCGAGCACCCACAGAUGGCAUGAACUCCUAUCUGGAAAAGGAAAAACGUAAACAGCAACCUGUCAGCAUCUUGAACCCUUCAGCAAAGGAAUUUAAUGCAGAACCCUGGAAAUCAACGCAACCAAUCAACGUCACCAACCAAUCAUUACUACCCAAUGACCCACCACCAUUGGAUGUGAGGAGGAAGGAGACCGAGAGAUGGUGUAUGGCAGCCUCAACCCAGUGGUAUAAGUCUAAUGAGCAGCAACAAACCAACAUGUCAACGAGACCAGUACCGUCAAACAACCCACCAUUACCGGAUGUGCAGAGAAAGGAAAUGGAUCGACGGUGCAAGGCUGCUUCAAGACAGUGGUACGUAGGUGAACAACAGCCACUUGACCUAUCAAAAGAAUUGCCAUCAUCUAACGAUCCACCACCAUUGGAUAUGCGCAGAAAGGAAGCAGAACAGUGGCACGAAGCCAUCUCAAGGCAGUGGUGUAACCCAAAUGAACACUGGCAAGAAAAUACGGGAACAUCACAACAAUCUCGUCAUCAGACCUUACUGGCCCCUUUGGAGGGAAGUCAAAGACAGCUCGCAUAUCAUCAACCCGUUGGUCAAUAUUCAUCUAGUGACCUCUUUUCCAUUAUGCAGAGGCAAAAUGAUAUAACUGCUGCUCUGGUGCGACAACAGCACACAUCAUCCCUACCACCCAGAGAAAUUCCCAUAUUUGAAGGGGAUCCUCUCCAGUAUAGGGCAUUCAUCAGGGCCUUUGAGCAAGGAGUCGAAGGGAAAGCAGGAAAGGCAGACUGUCUGUAUUACUUGGAACAGUUUACAAAAGGACGACCGCAGGAAUUGGUGCGUAGCUGCCAGCACAUGAACCCAGAACGAGGCUUUUCUGUGGCAAAAGAGCUCUUGCAGGAACACUUUGGCAAUCCAUACAAAAUUGCAGCGGCCUAUAUGGAGAAAGCUUUAGCAUGGGAAAUGAUAAAAUCCGAGGAUACUAAAUCCCUUCAAACAUACUGCUUAUUCCUGCGGGGCUGCUGUAAUGUAAUGGAAGAGUUGCCAUACGUCCAGGAACUGGAUAUGCCGGUGAAUAUGAGAACUAUCCUCGCUAAGUUACCCUUUAAAAUGAGGGAGCAAUGGAGGACCCAGGCACAUGUAAUAAUGGAGACUUCUAACCAGAGAGCCCACUUCUAUGAUUUGGUUGUAUUCAUUGAAAGACGAGUGAAAAUUCUUUCCGACCCCCUGUUUGGUGAUCUACAGGAUCAAUCAUCUAAUGCUGUAGUAGGAAAGAACUUCACCAAGUUUAAAUCACAGCCCAGAGAUAGAGUAAAAGGAAAUGUCGUCGCCACCACAGUAACAUCUAUGGAUUUGCAUGAGAGAGAUCCUGAAGCAACUGCAGACUCGGACACGCCUGACGACAUUGAAUGUCUCUGUUGUGCUCAAAGUCAUGAUUUAGAGGAAUGCAGACAGUUCCAGAAAAAAAGGCACAAGGAAAAGAUUGGCUUCUUGAAAGACAGAGGAGUUUGUUUCGCGUGCUUACAUCCUGGGCACAUGAGUCGUAAUUGUGAGCAGCGCUUGACCUGUAAGGUCUGUGGUCUAACUCACCCUACUGUGCUUCAUAUCGAGGGACGUACUACAACUCAACAUCAAGCAAGGGUACAAUCCAACAAUCCAUUAACGUAUGUAAAGACACUGCGUGGCCAUACAGGGGCCGGUGAGGGACGUACUGCAAUCCAGGAACAUUCGAGGGAACAAUCCAGGAAUCAGUCGACUUCACGCAAACUCUGUGGCCAUACAGGGGCAGGUCAGGAUCGAUGCGCACUAUCCAUUAUACCUGUGCAAGUGAAAUCAGCUAAAGGGAAUCGGAUCAUAAGUACAUAUGCCUUUUUGGACGCUGGUAGCUCUGCUACUUUUUGCUCAGAACACCUAAUGCAAAAGUUGAACAUUACAGGCAGAAGGACUAACUUCCUGUUGCGGACUAUGGGCCAAGAAAAGGUUGUUCCAGCUUAUUCCCUCACUGGGCUAGAGAUUACUGGUCUGAACAGCAACGAUUUUCACAUCCUUCCAGAAGUUCUUACCCAGAAAGACAUGCCGGUCACUGUACAUGACAUGGUAAAUACAGAAGAGUUGGAUAAAUGGCCCCAUCUGUCUAAGGUGCAUAUACCUAGCAUAAAGGCAAAUGUUGACCUGCUGAUAGGUGCCAAUGCUCCUUGGAUAUUGGAACCCUGGGAAGUCAUAAACAGUUGUGGAAAUGGCCCAUAUGCAAUCAGGACGUUGCUCGGAUGGGCCAUCAAUGGUCCCUUGACUAAACACGACGAACCCUUGGAGCGACAACUGCCCUCUGCUACAGUGAACAGGAUUUCAAUUUGUAAAUUGGAAAAAUUGCUGACUGAUCAGUACAACCAUGAUUUUAAUGAAAACUUCAGAGAAGAGAAGGAAAUGUCAAGAGAAGACCACAGUUUCCUGGAAAUAGCAGAACAAUCAGCUGUUCUCCAGAACGGGAGUUAUUGCCUGAAAUUGCCUUUUAAGAAGAAAGAGGUAUUUUUACCUAAUAACUUUGCGAUAGCCAAGCAAAGGAUUCAGGGCUUAAAGAAAAGGUUUCUGAACAACAAAGGCUUCCACACAGAAUAUGCCGAAUACAUGAACAAGCUCUUCAGAAAGAACUAUGCUGAGCAAGUACCAUGGCAACAAUUGUCUGGUGAGAGUGGGAAGGUGUGGUACAUCCCACAUCAUGGGGUCCACCAUCCAAGAAAGGGUGGCCUUCGGGUAGUGUUCGACUGUGGGGCCCCCUUCCAAGGAGUGUGUCUGAAUGGUCAGCUCCUGCAGGGUCCCAAUCUCACCAGUUCAUUGUUAGGAGUGCUUACUCGCUUCAGAGAGGAGCCCGUGGCAUUCAUGGGAGACAUUCAAGCCAUGUUUCACCAGGUCAGAGUUGCUAAGGAAGAUCAGGAUUUCCUUCGCUUUCUCUGGUGGCCAAAUGGGGAUACCACUAAAGACCUCCUGGAGUAUCGAAUGACCGUACAUCUCUUUGGCGCCGUUUCCUCUCCCAGUUGCGCGUCUUACGCCCUAAGAAAAACUGCAGAUGACAACCAAUCCCAGUGUUCAGCCGAAGUGCUACAAGCUGUUAAAUACAACUUCUAUGUGGAUGAUUGCUUAAAAAGUUCAGCUACAGCACAAAAGGCCAUCCAUAUGAUUGAAGAGCUCACUGCUUUAUGUGCAAAAGGGGGUUUUCUCCUGGAAAAAUGGAUUAGCAACAGUCGCAGUGUUUUGCAGGCCAUUGCAGCUGAUCAGAGGGCUCAAGAUAUAAAAGCGCUGGACCUGGACCGUGACCAGUUACCAGUGGAAAGAGCUUUAGGGUUGCAGUGGUGUGUAGAGACAGACUUCUUCAAAUUUAAAAUGGAGAUGAAACCACAGCCCCUUACAAGACGUGGUAUGUUGUCACUUACCAGCUCAGUGUAUGAUCCCCUGGGUUUCCUGGCACCAGUCACUCUACAGGCUAAAAUGAUGCAGCAGGAACUCUGUAGGAGGAAAUACGGUUGGGAUGACGACCUACCACAUGACAUCCUACAUCAGUGGAAAGAGUGGCUGAAAGACUUGGACCUGCUGGCAGUAUUCAGUGUGACCAGGUGUAUCAAGCCCGAAGGGUUUGGUAUGAUCGAACAUGCUCAGCUACACCAUUUUGCAGACGCCAGUGAAGGCGGGUAUGGAACUGCAACAUAUAUUCGCAUGUUAAACAAAUGCGGUGACAUUCAGGUUGCCUUUCUUCUUGGCAAGGCUCGAGUGACUCCACUGAAGGCUGUUACCAUCCCCCGGUUGGAGUUGACUGCAGCGGUCCUUGCCGUCAGAGUGGACUUGAUGUUAAGGGCAGAGCUUAAACUCCAGCUUGAUGGUUCAAUCUUUUGGACGGACAGCACUGCAGUGUUGAAGUAUAUACACAAUGAAGACCGGCGUUUUCAGACAUUCGUGGCAAAUCGAAUCUCAACCAUAAGAGAAGCAUCUGAGCCAUUGCAGUGGCGGCAUGUUCGCACCAAAGACAAUCCAGCAGAUGAGGCAUCAAGAGGGUUGAAAGUUGCUGAUCUACUGAAGAACGACAGGUGGCUGGAAGGGCCUGCAUUUCUUUGGAAAGGUGAGAAGAAUUGGCCCAACUUAGCACUAGACACGUUAGUGGACGCCAAUGAUCCAGAGGUUAGACGGCAGGUGACCAUAAAUGCCAUUAAGGUGGAUAAUAACCCCAGUCCUGCUAGACAGCUGAUUGGCUACUUCUCUGAUUGGAGGCGCCUUAAAACAACGGUUGCUUGGUUCCUCAGAUUAAAAGCUAUAUUGCUGAAACAAAGUCGCCUCAAAAGGCAGUUGGAGGCUGUAAAGGCAGACAAUCUGAAGACCACAGGUCACCCCAGUGCAACGCAAGUCACAACUCCAAAAGCCAAAGUUACCUCGGCCAGUUGCAUUCUUACAGUAGACGAGUUAUCAGAAGCAGAAAUGGCAAUCAUUCGCUACUGCCAACAACUGAGAUUCAGUGAGGAGAUUGCGGCCCUUACCUCGUGCAAAGCAACAGUGAGUCGCCAGAGUUCCAUAUACAGGCUUGAUCCAGUCCUGAAUGAUGGGCUCUUAAGAGUUGGAGGGAGAUUGAGUAAGGGAGCAAUGCCUGAAGAGGUUAAACAUCCACUCAUCCUUUCAAAAGAUCAGAAUGUCUCUUCACUCAUUCUCAAGCAUGUUCAUCAAAAUCUGGGUCAUAGUGGACGCAGUCAUACACUAUCUGCUGUAAGGAAGAAGUUUUGGAUUACCAAUGCCAACUCGGCUGUACGGAAGGUCAUCAGUGAGUGCGGGUUCUGUAGGCGCUAUAAUGGAAGAGCUAUAGAACAGAAGAUGGCUGACCUUCCAAAGGUGAGAGUCCUCCCUGACCUACCACCCUUCACCAAUACAGGAGUGGAUUACUUCGGUCCCGUCGAAGUGAAGAGGGGAAGAUCAACCUGUAAGCGCUACGGAGUCAUAUUUACCUGUAUGGCAAGCAGGGCUGUCCACUUGGAGGUAGCGGUGUCUUUAGAAACAGAUGCUUGCAUUAAUGCCAUGCGCCGUUUCAUCAGCAGGAGAGGCCAAGUGGUACAACUGAGGUCUGACAAUGGCACCAACUUCAUUGGGGCAGAAAGAGAACUGAGGGAGGCUGUUGCUGCUUUAAACCACGACCAGAUUCAAGGAGCCCUUUCUCAGGUCAGAAUUCAUUGGAGCUUCAAUCCACCAGCAGGCUCUCAUCAUGGUGGUGUUUGGGAGCGGAUGAUCCGGCUAGUGAGAAGGGUCCUCAGCUCUGUUCUGCGCCAGCAAACACUAGAUGACGAUGGGCUGCAUACAGUGCUUUGUGAAGUGGAGGCCAUUCUCAAUGAUCGCCCAAUUACCCAGCUCUCCAAUGAUCCGAACGACUUGGAGCCGCUCACUCCUAAUCAUCUUCUACUUCUAAAGGGAAAACCAGCCUUGCCACCUGGAGUUUUCAGGCCUCAUGACCAAUACAUGAAAAGACGAUGGAGACAGAUUCAGUACAUCUCAGAUCUUUUCUGGAAGCGAUGGGUGCGAGAGUACUUGCCCUUACUCCAAGAGAGGCAAAAAUGGAACCAGAAGAAAAGAAGUUUGAGCAGGGGCGACAUUGUAGUGGUGAUGGACUCUUCAGCCCCUCGAGGUUCCUGGCCAUUGGGCAAAAUUCUUGAGGUCUUUCCAGAUAAAAAGGGCCAUGUACGUUCUGUAAGACUACAAACUAAAUCUAACGUAAUUGAAAGACCAGUAACAAAGCUGUGUUUAGUGCAUGAGGUUUGAAUUAUUAAGUCCUAUCAUGUUUGGGUUUAUUGCAACAUGUUUGUUUGUUUUGUUCAUUGAAUUGUUAUGUCUGCCUGCCUGCCAUUAACAAUUAGGGGCCGGUAUGUAGCAGCCAAAUGGGUUGCUACAGCCUAAAUGUGUUGUCACGCAAUGUGUAAUGUCCCUGUUUGUACACUGGGUGUUGCUGUGCAUUGCACAGGUGUUUUUAGGCAUAUAGGUAGGAAGCCUACUGUUGUGGUUAGGUGUUGACCCCGGAAGGGCAAAUGGUUUUGACCGCUAUACCGCGAAGGUUUGAGUAACAUGUCAUUGCUCUGCGUUUUAAUGGACAAUAAAUGGAGAACUGUUUAAACGAACGCAAUGCGUGUAUGGACUUUAUCUCGCUGACGGUAAUCACCUCUAAAAGAUCUAAGCGCGUCAACCAGGUUAUUCCUGGGGUACAACAACCCAGUAGCUCAGUAGUGUACUGUGCUCCCACAGUU
rnacentral:lncRNA from 1 species